GAAACUCAAAUGAAUUGACGGGACCCGCACAAGCGGUGGAUGAUGUGGUUUAAUUCGAUGCAACGCGAAAACCUUACCACCUUUGACAUGUACGGAACCUUUAGAGAUAGAGGGGUGCUCGAAAGAGAGCCGUAACACAGGUGCUGCAUGGCUGUCGUCAGCUCGUGUCGUGAGAUGUUGGGUUAAGUCCCGCAACGAGCGCAACCCUUGUCAUUAGUUGCUACAUUCAGUUGGGCACUCUAAUGAGACUGCCGGUGACAAGCCGGAGGAAGGUGGGGAUGACGUCAAGUCCUCAUGGCCCUUAUAGGUGGGGCUACACACGUCAUACAAUGGCUGGUACAAAGGGUUGCCAACCCGCGAGGGGGAGCCAAUCCCAUAAAGCCAGUCGUAGUCCGGAUCGUAGUCUGCAACUCGACUACGUGAAGUCGGAAUCGCUAGUAAUCGUGGAUCAGAAUGUCACGGUGAAUACGUUCCCGGGUCUU
rnacentral:rRNA from 1 species